rnacentral:rRNA from 1 species
UACAGAGGGUGCGAGCGUUGUUCGGAAUUACUGGGCGUAAAGCGCGCGCAGGCGGCUCUUUAAGUCUGCCGGUCAAAUGCCGGGGCUCAACCCCGUGCUCGCCGGAGAUACUGGAGGGCUGGAGACACGUAGAGGCAAGCGGAAUUCCGGGUGUAGCGGUGGAAUGCGUAGAGAUCCGGAAGAACACCGGAGGCGAAGGCGGCUUGCUGGGCGUGAUCUGACGCUGAGGCGCGAAAGCGUGGGGAGCGAACAGGAUUAGAAACCCCCGUAGUCC